UCCUGGGUGGGGAGUGGCCCUGCCCGCGGCCUCGGGGCUGGCUCUCGGAGGUGGCCGCGUGAGGGACCCAGGGGACCUGGGGAUCCAGGGCCCACAUGUGCUGGUGGCUCCAAAUAGGAGGUCACAGCAGCGGGGUCCUCAUCCCCAGAGGCUGGGGGCUGAUGGGCCUCGUCUCCACCACGAGGUGGCCAUGCAAGGUGGGGUGGCUGCACCUGGUGCUCAGGGAAGGACCCUAGUGGGGCAUGCAAGGGGCAUCCUGGCUGCUGGGAUCGUGGCUCCCUGGUGGGAGGAUUUCCUACGCCCCUUCCCCGCCUCUGAGCACUGCAGCUGCCUGGCGGGGACCCGGGCUCAGUUCCUCCAUUUUACCUGGUUUAAAGCCGAGCUCUGUCCGUAGUGUCCCCCCAGCAAAGUGCAGAGUCCACCGCGCCGGGGCCUACCCAGGCUGUCAGCCAAGGGAACUUGAGCUCUGCUGUUCAGGCCUCACACUGGCACCCCAUGGCUUCCUUGGGGGGCUUUGUGAAGGCCCCAGCAUUGCCUGGCACUGGGGAAUGGUUAGUUACGUUUUCCUGGUCAACUCCAAUUCGUGCGUGAAAACCCCAGCUGCCACAUCCUUCAGUCAGGGCUUCCCCAGCUUUUGAAUCUCCAAUCUGCCCAUCUCCGACUACCUAUUACCAGACAAAGGGUGGACAUCUGUCCAGCUCUCUCAAAAAUGGGGAAGGUGAAGUGCUAAGCUGAACACUGAGGCCCACCAGCUGAGUGAGGCUUAGGGAGCCAUCUAGGGG